rnacentral:rRNA from 1 species
AGUGAACGCUGGCGGUAGGCCUAACACAUGCAAGUCGAACGGCAGCACAGUAAGAGCUUGCUCUUACGGGUGGCGAGUGGCGGACGGGUGAGGAAUACAUCGGAAUCUACUUUUUCGUGGGGGAUAACGUAGGGAAACUUACGCUAAUACCGCAUACGACCUACGGGUGAAAGCAUGGGAUCUUCUGACCUUGCGCGAUUGAAUGAGCCGAUGUCGGAUUAGCUAGUUGGCGGGGUAAAGGCCCACCAAGGCGACGAUCCGUAGCUGGUCUGAGAGGAUGAUCAGCAACACUGGAACUGAGACACGGUCCAGACUCCUACGGGAGGCAGCAGUGGGGAAUAUUGGACAAUGGGCGCAAGCCUGAUACAGCCAUACCGCGUGGGUGAAGAAGGCCUUCGGGUUGUAAAGCCCUUUUGUUGGGAAAGAAAAGCAGCAGGUUAAUACCCCGCUGUUCUGACGGUACCCAAAGAAUAAGCACCGGCUAACUUCGUG